AAGUUGCUGUUGCUAGUGCUGCGGAUCGCUGCUAUUGUUGUCGACACCUCGUUGUUGUUUUGAAGUUCAAAGUUAACGAAACGAGUCGAAAGAGAGACGAGACAAGACGAAACGCAGCCGAGGAGGAGGAGGAAGCACGGGCAAUGCAAAGAAAACAAGAAAAGGGGCAGGGGCCCUCCGACAAUCGACAAUUUAAACAUGGGAGAUGAGCAGAGUUGCAGACAACACGGCGUAUGCGUAAUCAAUCAACUGAUGUGGAUGGAUGGCCAAAAAACAAAGCACCAUGGUCCCCACCCGAAGUCCCGCUGAGCAGCCAGCUUGUCACCCGACCGGGCCAUUGUCUUUCCCCAGCUGCGGAGAUGUGCGUGAGUCGCGGAUCGUGAGCGAAGCUGCGUGAGGAUUCACUAGAUUCAGUCAAGGGCACUAGGCCUUGUGAAAUUGAGUGGCACUGUUGACUAGAAAAGUGCUGUUUUUGCGGCUCGGGCGCUGACGUGAGUCAUAAAAAUACAUUGAAUGCGAAUGUUACGUAUACGCCAUGAAGUGCAACAGCGAUUGUAGAACCUGUAGAAGCCAUAAACUAAUGCCAGUGUGAUGGAUUGGAAA